AUUGAACGCUGGCGGCAUGCUUUACACAUGCAAGUCGAACGGUAACAGGCCUUCGGGUGCUGACGAGUGGCGAACGGGUGAGUAAUGCAUCGGAACGUGCCCAGAGGUGGGGGAUAACGCAGCGAAAGCUGUGCUAAUACUGCAUGUGAUCUGAGGAUGAAAGCGGGGGACCAGGCAGCAAUGUUUGGCCUCGCGCCUUUGGAGCGGCCGAUGUCAGAUUAGGUAGUUGGUGGGGUAAAGGCCUACCAAGCCGACGAUCUGUAGCUGGUCUGAGAGGACGAACAGCCACACUGGGACUGAGACACGGCCCAGACUCCUACGGGAGGCAGCAGUGGGGAAUUUUGGACAAUGGGCGCAAGCCUGAUCCAGCAAUGCCGCGUGCGGGAAGAAGGCCUUCGGGUUGUAAACCGCUUUUGUACGGAACGAAAAGGCUCUGGCUAAUACCUGGGGCUGAUGACGGUACCGUAAGAAUAAGCACCGGCUAACUACGUG
rnacentral:rRNA from 1 species